CCCAGGGGCCCGCCAAGCCUGCCCCAGCCAGCACCUCAUGGCCCCACAGCUUAGAGCUACGUCUAACCUACUCCACUUAAAGGCCGAUUCCCCCGGGCGGGCGCCGCGCAGGCAGCAGCGGGUGGGUGGAUGAAAUCCCUACGGGGACAGGCAGGCCGCGGCACUGUCACGGCUCCCGGUUCCCGGCUCCCAUCUCGGGAAGGCUCCAUUCUUCCCCACCCCCACAGGCUGCGUGUGGCCGGGGCCGGGGCCGGGGCCUGGGCGGCGGCCACUCACCACGGCGGGGUGACUCCGUGCGGGCAGGCCUCGCGCUCCGCUUCCAGUCACCGGGAGCGAGCGGCCCCAUCAAGGCCGCGGCCGGGCAGCGGGGUACAGCCGAACCAGCCGCUCACCGCACCCGCUGCUGCUGUUGGUAGCCAUUUUAAUCCUCCUUCUUCGGCUGCCGCCGCUCCAGCUCUUCCCGAACCCCCUCCCUCCCAGUCCGGCCGCGCUCCGCCCCGCCGCCGCCGCCUUCCCGCGGGAAUGCGGCACUCGCCCGCGCCCGGCAGGAAGGGCCGUUGCCCUGACACUGGGGAGCCCCCAGCGGCAUCCUGCCCCAAAGGGGCUGGCGAGGUGCUGUUUUCUUCCAGGCUCAGAAAACUGUUAUGCCAAGACAGACUUCCACUUCCUCACUCCUCCAGUGUAAACCACUUAAAUUUUGCUGGUGAACAGAUCUGUUAUGCAACUUCUGAAGGGAGCUUUCUACAGCCCUCUCCUCAUCCCACCCAGAAGAAAGGCCAACAUCUAGCAGUAAAGGUCUGAUUGUGGAGACUGGAGUGCAGCUUUAUAAUCUCCAUUUAACGUUACUGUUCUAUCAUAAGUUGUCCAUUGUCCAACUCUCAGCCUGUGGGCUGCGUGUGGUCUACAAGGGACGGAUUGACACAGCUCCAGCCCAGCCACCACUCCUUCCACUCCCCAUCUGCUGCUGCUGCCACAGUUCUUCAUGUUCCUCUUCUUUUCUCCAACUUCAGCUUCCUGCCCCUGUGCCACCUGCAUGGUACUUUGUGGCCUGCAGCCUGUGGCAGGAAGCUACCUUUGUUUCUCCCCAAAAUCUCUGCUCUAUGACAUUUUGAUUAGGAUAGGCCCAGCAGAGAAGAUACACCUUUACCCUGUCUCUUCAAGUAAUCUGAGGUGGAUACAUUCCUGAGGGAGGGGGGAAACCUGCUCCCUCUCCUACCUGACAGCUAUCUGGGGGAGGGGCUUCUACCUGGUGGGCUAGAGUCUGCCCAGCAACUACUGAUGUGUUUCAAAUUGGUUGGCCAACAGCCAACAGGUGCUGGCCUCCAUUGGCCCAGGUGAAUGAGGUCACAGGGGCUAUACAAGUUAAGACUGCCCAGGAGGUGGGGGGUAGCAGCCAUGCAGGGGACUGAGACUUAGAGAGGAGUUUAGCAUCUAAAACUCACUCUCUCCCCCAUAACUCAUGAGCUAGGAACAGCCUGCCUCCAAAGGGAAUCUGCAACAGCCUCGGGAUGAUGCUUGUGAGUAAGCUACUCAAGAUCUGGUUCAAUAUAUAGCUGGCAGUAACUCAGAUGCAUGAUCAAAAGGUUACCUCAGCCAGACUGUUUUGCUCUAUGGGAUUUCUAUGAGAUUGCUCUAUCCUGUACCUGAUUUUCAUGCUACCCCCUGUAAUCAAUACAGUUCUUCUUUGUGACUGGUGUAGGAGACUUAUUGAGGGGUGGGUCUGAAUUAUGCCUAAGAGGCCCCUUAGAUCUGUGGACUAAGGCAGACUUUCCUUUUUGGCCCCCAACUUGGGGAAGUGCCC
ensembl:lncRNA